UACGGAGGGAGCGAACGUUGUUCGGAUUCACUGGGCGUAAAGGGCGUGUAGGCGGUCUGGCAAGUCAGGGGUGAAAUGCCACGGCUCAACCGUGGAAUUGCCUUUGAAACUACCGGACUUGAGGCCGUGAGAGGAGACUGGAAUUCCCAGUGUAGCGGUGAAAUGCAUAGAUAUUGGGAAGAACACCAGUGGCGAAGGCGAGUCUCUGGCACGGUUCUGACGCUGAUGCGCGAAAGCUAGGGGAGCAAACA
rnacentral:rRNA from 1 species